rnacentral:tRNA from 1 species
GCGCCCAUAGCUCAGUAGGACAGAGCAACGGCCUUCUAAGCCGUGGGUCGGGGGUUCGAAUCCCUCUGGGCGCG